rnacentral:rRNA from 1 species
GACGAACGCUGGCGGCGUGCUUAACACAUGCAAGUCGAGCGGUAAGGCCCUUUCGGGGGUACACGAGCGGCGAACGGGUGAGUAACACGUGGGUGACCUGCCCUCAGCUCUGGGAUAAGCCUGGGAAACCGGGUCUAAUACUGGAUAUGACUCCAUGACGCAUGUUGUGGGGUGGAAAGCCUUGUGCGGCUGAGGAUGGGCCCGCGGCCUAUCAGCUUGUUGGUGGGGUGAGGGCCUACCAAGGCGACGACGGGUAGCCGGCCUGAGAGGCGACCGGCCACACUGGGACUGAGACACGGCCCAGACUCCUACGGGAGGCAGCAGUGGGGAAUCUUGCGCAAUGGGCGAAAGCCUGACGCAGCGACGCCGCGUGAGGGAUGA